UUUUUCAGUAAAAAAGUGAGAACCGAUUCAUGUUUUGAACUUGUCUUGCUGAAAUGUGUUGUGGGCAUGUGAUGAAUCUCAUUUUUAUGGGUAAUAUGCGUCUGAAUUAGUAUAUCUUUGAUGCUUAAUCACCUUGGAGAACUGAUGCCCUGUUU